UACAGAGGUCUCGAGCGUUGUUCGGAUUCAUUGGGCGUAAAGGGCGCGUAGGCGGCGGGGUAAGUCUGGUGUGAAAUCUCGGAGCUCAACUCCGAAAUUGCACUGGAUACUGCUCUGCUAGAGGGCUGGAGAGGAGAUCGGAAUUCACGGUGUAGCAGUGAAAUGCGUAGAGAUCAUGAGGAAGACCAGUGGCGAAGGCGGGUCUCUGGACAGUUCCUGACACUGAGGCACGAAGGCCAGGGGAGCAAACGGG
rnacentral:rRNA from 1 species